rfam:Morus notabilis contig10677, whole genome shotgun sequence.
UGCCAGUGAUGCAUUUCUAAUGCACGUAUUAUCAGAUACAGAUAUAUGAUGAUACGCAUAAUUGUCACUACCUCUGAGGCA